rnacentral:tRNA from 1 species
ACUUAAAUAGCUUAUAGUUAGAGCGUAACACUGAAGAUGUUAAGGAGAUGUUUGUCUUUGAGUA